rnacentral:lncRNA from 1 species
GCUGGUGCAGCAGCCGACUUAGGAACCAGAGGAGGUGAAGACACCCAGGAGAUCAGAGCAGGGCUGGGGAGUGAGGAGAGCAGCGCUUAGUGCUUUUGAAUGAUGAAUUCCUGCCCUUAGAGACUUAGUAGGUGGCGUCAUUUCCUCCCGGGUACCCGUCCCCCCAACACCUGCUUUGUCAUUAAAGGACGAUCCACCUCUGCCGAAGAAGAACUUAAAGGACAGGCAUCCCAGCACUGUCCGAAACUCGCCUGGACAAGUCCAACUUCAUUCUUUUCAGUACGACUAGCUCCUGUGCGCUGCAGAAGACUCGGGCUGAUCUGAAAGCGCCUCUCCUAUUCGAGACUCUCAGGUUUUAAGUAGGUCUUCCGCACCUGCAGAUGAAAAAAGAUGUGGCUAUUAUUUUCCUCGAUUACGUUGACAUUGCCUGAAAAUGAAUACAAAACAUUGCCUUGCAAAGAUUUUUUACCUUUUCUUUAUUUCUUUCUUUUUUGUGUGUGUGAUUGUGCAGGGAAAUAAAUGUAUGUCUUUUAUAUUUUUGAGAAAAGUCUAGAGUGACCACAUGUUCACAGCACGCAUUCCCACACUUCUUGUCCACUCAUAAAGCAAUGGAUAAGAGAGACGGAUAUGCACAAAUCUACUAACCCAUCAACAUCAGCCCAAUAAUAAAUGCUCCCAUGAAAACAGUUACAAAGGCCAUCAUAAUUUGUACUCUCAUUAUAAAAUAUUUAGCAGUAUAACUUGAAUUAUAUAGUCAUGGAAGGAAGAAAUCUGUAUUGGAAGAAUUAGGCCCAUUAAUUGUAAAUCAUACAUGUUAUAAGGCUUUUGCAAGCUCUUAAGAAUAAUAAUACAUAAUACAUAGAUAUUUAGCACUUAGGAUUUUUUUUCACCAUCUCUUUUUUUUUUUAAUCGUGAGAAUUGAAAGACGCCACUCAGUCAUUCUGUGACUACAGGAAGUGAUUAUAAAUCAAUGCCACAGUUGCUAACAGACGGCAUUCCUCUCUUUAUACACAUCUGUGUGUCUCCUCACACACAGGCGUACAUGCACACACAUAUGCACACACACACACAAGUGCUUGGCCCACUCAGCCUCCCCAUAAUUUCACAAAAGAGUGACUCUAAUGUUUGCUGCCUCGUGGGGAGCCGGUGGGCACAGCAGUGGAUUGGAUACCUACACCAGAGAAGGCCUGAGAGGCGUAAUCAAAUAAGGGAACCACUUGAACUGAACUCCCAGCAGGAGCGGGAGGGAGGCCUUGAGAGGUUACACGUAGUUUUUAUCCAGCCUUGCAGGAGAGCACCAACUUCCUGCUGCUAGAAAUUUGUCUGCAAAUUUUUUCCUCAUUCAGACAGAGAGCUGGGGUCCAGGAAACACUGGGUUGAUAUGAUAACUUGAUUAAGUCUGGGGACAGAUGACACGGGAGCACCAACUCGACUCAAAGGAACCUGUGCUCUCCUCUUUAACCUCUCCUUGGGAGCCUACAAAUUAUAUCUAUUAAUGCAUCAGCCCCGGGAACUGCACAAAGACAUUGUCUGCCUAAAUGUAUGUCAGUCAUUUGCAGGGGCCUUUGUGGAAUUCCCACCACAUUUUCAUGUCUCUUCGCUAUUUGAAAAAAUAAAAUGUAAACUGAUGGGCUAGACAAAGGCUCACAGUCUACCUCCUCUCGUUAAAAUCGCUUUGAAGGCAGAAGUCAAGUUCAUCAGCAAAAGUGUUCAAGAAAUUCUUGAAAUGGGCCCUGGGCAGCUGGAGCAUAUCCAGGGGAGAGAAACUACAAGGAAGAAGGGUUUGGAAACUGCAUCCAGUGAAGCAUGGAUGGAAAACCCAGGGAUUUGCCUGGAGAAGAGAAAACACAGAGAGGACUUGGGAGCUGAAGAAGUGCCAACGGGAAGAAGGAUGAGAGUUUGCUGUGGGUCCCGGGACAGAGCCCAGGGAGAGACAGGCGUUCGCCAAGUGCCAGCAAAGUGACUGGAUGAAAAAUGGGCCACGUGCUGGGGCCGCCCCUGCGGAUGUGAGGAAAUCAGUAGCGUGGCCACAGCUGCACAAAUCACAGCUGCCUCUCCUGGUGUCUGAUCCAGGAGACAGCCGGCCAUUGAGAGGCUGGUAAACCUCAGCUCCAAAUAACGUUUCCCACCUGGCUCACAUUCUCC